AAAUAUACAUAAAAAAGGAGAUAAUGUAGAAAUCUCUUAUCCUUUGUCGGCACCAUUCUUAGCCUCCAAAUUGCGAUGUGAGCCACCGCCUCCCAGACCAUCCUCUCUAUUUCACCACCGUUCUUUCGCCAUACCUCUUUUGUGUAUAUGGAAUACAUGAGCUGCACAUAUAAUCGACAAACCUUUGCAAACAAUACCAAAUGAGCCUCAAAACCUCAAAUUUGACAACGGAGUAAUUGAGUUGAGGAAUAUCAGACUCCUAUUGUAUUUGCGACUCUCCUCCACGUGAUGGUGGAUGCAGUUGAUAUUGGAAUAGACAUGCCAUUGACAUUAUUGCAGCUUUGUUCCAUCUCUAAGAUGUUAUGAAGCGGGUGAAUAUCUUACCCAGAGAAGUGAAAGAAGGAGAAGAAAUGAAGAAUGAUGAGAAGAUUUAAGAAUACUGUAAGUACAACUAACCUGGAGUUAUAUAGGAGAAUAAAUCUGUCCAUGAUCUUUGUUUGUACGUAGUGGUGUUAGUGUCAUAAUAUUACGGGAUUUUGGUUAUAGGUUUUUUUUGUUUUUGGUUUCUUAAUUAAAUUUUUAUCUCAAAAAUCCCACAAUUGAAUUAGCAAGGCGUUAAAAACGCGGCACAUAACAAAGAGUUUUGGGCAUGUAUUAAAUUAAACACCUUCUUUGAUGUGACUAAAACAUGAUCAUUACAUCAUUAAUAUUAAAUAAAAUUUUGAAAAAUAUAUACAUUUGACACUAAAGAGUACGACAUUCAGUAUGAUCUUACUUUUCAUGAAACUGGAAUUUCAAAUUUGAGUUGUUUUAACAUUGCAAAAGCUAAAAUACAAUAAGAUCCUUUUAUCUUAUAAAGCACAAGUCACUGUACCAAUAAAAUUGUGACAUGUCAGCAAAACCAAAUAAUUUUAAAAAAAAAAUAUAAAACAAAAAAUGAUUGUCGAUCAAAGAAAGAAAACGAAAACAAUUUAACACAUAUUUUUUAAAAAAUAAUUAAUUAAAGAAACACAAUCUAAUAUUUUGGUUUGUUCGAACUCAACAUAUAUCUUCCCACCUUCCCACCUUUCUCUACGGUUUUCUUUUUUUUCAUAUCAUAACUAAUCUCAUCUCCUAUAUAAUAAAAGUUAAAUCAGUUGUAGAAGCAUCGGUUGGGCAUCAACUAUCAGAGACGGGAAUGUCUCCAUUGAAUUCCUAAACUCAAUCAAAUGUUCGGGAUUGCCAAACCAUGUCCUCAAGUUGAAGAUAGGAGUUCUGAUUAUGCUCUUAAAAAACAUUGACCAAAAAAAUGGAUUGUGUAAUGGGACCAGAUUGCAGAUAACAAAGUUGGGAGAACAUGUCAUUGAAGCAAGAGUUAUCGGCCUAAACGACGACGGUGACAAUGAUGAAGAGAGAGUUAAUAUCCCAUGCAUGGCACUUACACCUACAGAUGUGAAGUUGCCUUUUCGAUUUCGCCGUAUUCAGUUUCCUAUUUCUCCAUGCUUUGGAAUGACAAUAAACAAGAGCCAAGGUCAGAGUUUAUCUCACGUUGGGAUCUAUUUGCCAAGACCGGUGUUUACUCACGGCCAACUGUACGUUGCCAUGUCAAGAGUCAAAAGCAGAAGGGGUCUAAAGAUCCUAAUUGUUGAUGAGGAUGGGAACAGAGAUACAAAAACAACAAAUGUUGUUUUUAAGGAGAUUUUUCAACAAAUCAGAUAACGAUUACUCAUAUAUAGGUAAUACAUAUUUUUCUACUUAUUUAUAUUAUUGUUUUUAAUAUAACACAAAUUAUUGGACCUACAAACUUACAUUGCUUUACAUUUAUCUAACUGUAAGUUUCAUACUACGUUGGGCAUAUUCUGUCACAACUAAAAUAUUCCUUGGUUUCUCCUGGUAGAAUAUCCAUUAUAUGAUUGUUGA